rnacentral:rRNA from 1 species
UACGGGGGGGGCAAGCGUUGUUCGGAAUUACUGGGCGUAAAGGGUUUGUAGGUGGCUCGCUAAGUCAGACGUGAAAUCCCUCAGCUUAACUGGGGAACUGCGUCUGAAAACUGAUGAGCUUGAGUGCAGGAGAGGAACGCGGAAUUCCAGGUGUAGCGGUGAAAAUGCGUAGAUAUCUGGAGGAACACCGGUGGCGAAGGCGG